AGCCCAAAACAUCACCGAACAGCCCCAAAGUUUUAGCCGCGCUAGGAGAGCUUCCGAGGCAAGUUUUGGAGAGUUUCGGUAAAGACUAACAAGUUGGAAGAAUAAGAAAAGCUAGUAAGGCGCGGUACAGGUACACCUAGACAAGUAGAAGCUACUAUAGAAGAUGUUC